GACGAACGCUGGCGGCGUGCCUAAUACAUGCAAGUAGAACGCACAGUUUAUACCGUAGCUUGCUACACCAUAGACUGUGAGUUGCGAACGGGUGAGUAACGCGUAGGUAACCUGCCUGGUAGCGGGGGAUAACUAUUGGAAACGAUAGCUAAUACCGCAUAAUAUUAAUUAUUGCAUGAUAAUUAAUUGAAAGGUGCAAUUGCACCACUACCAGAUGGACCUGCGUUGUAUUAGCUAGUAGGUGAGGUAACGGCUCACCUAGGCGACGAUACAUAGCCGACCUGAGAGGGUGAUCGGCCACACUGGGACUGAGACACGGCCCAGACUCCUACGGGAGGCAGCAGUAGGGAAUCUUCGGCAAUGGACGAAAGUCUGACCGAGCAACGCCGCGUGAGUGAAGAAGGUUUUCGGAUCGUAAAGCUCUGUUGAAGAGAAGAACGGGUGUGAGAGUGGAAAGUUCACACUGUGACGGUAUCUUACCAGAAAGGGACGGCUAACUACGUG
rnacentral:rRNA from 1 species